GACGAACGCUGGCGGCGUGCCUAAUACAUGCAAGUUGAGCGCUGAAGGUUGGUACUUGUACCAACUGGAUGAGCAGCGAACGGGUGAGUAACGCGUGGGGAAUCUGCCUUUGAGCGGGGGACAACAUUUGGAAACGAAUGCUAAUACCGCUUAAAAACUUUAAACACAAGUUUUAAGUUUGAAAGAUGCAAUUGCAUCACUCAAAGAUGAUCCCGCGUUGUAUUAGCUAGUUGGUGAGGUAAAGGCUCACCAAGGCGAUGAUACAUAGCCGACCUGAGAGGGUGAUCGGCCACAUUGGGACUGAGACACGGCCCAAACUCCUACGGGAGGCAGCAGUAGGGAAUCUUCGGCAAUGGACGAAAGUCUGACCGAGCAACGCCGCGUGAGUGAAGAAGGUUUUCGGAUCGUAAAACUCUGUUGGUAGAGAAGAACGUUGGUGAGAGUGGAAAGCUCAUCAAGUGACGGUAACUACCCAGAGAGGGACGGCUAACUACGUG
rnacentral:rRNA from 1 species